GGAAUUUCACAUGUGCAGUCUUUGAUCUUUGUAUUUUUGGGAUUCCAGCCACAGCAUUUUCCAUGUCUGACACCUAUUUGACAGAUGAACAAUCAAGCUAAAACUUUUGGAUUAACAUGAUCAUAAUUUGAUCAAGUUCCCAUGAUAUGAUACACCCAAAAUUCGUAUAGAAAGAAUUAGCUUAGUAAGAAAAACUUAAUAUUACACAAGAAAUGACAAUGAAUUUAGUUAGAGUAAUUGCUCAAUCAACAACCGGCAAAAAAGAAAAGAAAAGAAAAUUUAGAGAACCUAGUGCAAGUAAAGUGGCACAGUUCUUUGACUACCUCUAGGAAUUGGUAAGUAAAACUCAGCAUACCUCCAAGAACUGAUAAUAACAACAUUUGCUAAAUGACAUCAGAACAAUUGCUUAAUGAAAAACCAGUUUGUAUGCAAUCCAUUUUGAUAUGAUUUAGCAUGCAGAAGCACCUUUUAUGGCCCUGAUGGAAAUAACAGCUGUAUAUUUAAAUCUAAUGAAUAUGUCAUUAAAAAAAAAUUGUAGAACUAAAACCCCUUAAUUUAACUCCCAUAAAGAAGUUAUACUAAAGUAAGCAUAACUUAAAAUGUCCAGUCUUGAGUUGCUAAUAGAAUUGUAAUCAAUUUAAAUAUAAAAUAUGAACCAAUUUCAACUUUAGAAGGAUUUGAAAAAGAGAGAAAAUCUCAAUGAAUAUAACCUUAGUUGUUAUUAUUAUUAUUACUACUUUGUAAAGAAGCAUUUAUAAAUUAUGAUGGAAUUCAUGUAUGAUAUAGAACAUCAUAGUAAGAUAUGCAUCUUAGCAUGAGAAUUGAGCUUGUAAAUUUCAAGAGUCAUAACAAUUAAUACAGGAAAGAAGAAAUAACUACAAACUAUUGAAUGGUCCGUGAAUAAAUGUGUUUAAGAAGCACUGCAACUUCCAUAAUCAAACAACAUAUAUAUAAUUUUUAAGGAAGAACAAGAUGCAUGCCGUUUAAUUAAAGAAACAAGAAACCAAUAUUUGUGAUAAUGACAAAGGAUACCUCAGCAGCACCAGAUGCCACAUGAGAUUUA
rnacentral:misc_RNA from 1 species